UACGUAGGGGGCAAGCGUUAUCCGGAUUUACUGGGUGUAAAGGGAGCGUAGACGGCGGUGCAAGCCAGAUGUGAAAGCCCGGGGCUCAACCCCGGGACUGCAUUUGGAACUGUAUGGCUAGAGUGUCGGAGAGGCAGGCGGAAUUCCUAGUGUAGCGGUGAAAUGCGUAGAUAUAUGGAAGAACACCAGUGGCGAAAGCGGCUCUCUGGUCUGUAACUGACGCUGAGGUUCGAAAGCGUGGGUAGCAAACAGG
rnacentral:rRNA from 1 species